rnacentral:rRNA from 1 species
CCCUUAGAUGUCCUGGGCUGCACGCGCGCUACACUGGAAGUUACGGAUUGAGAUACUACCUUGUCCGAAAUGGUCCGGGUAAUCACCUAAAAGCUUGUCAUAAUUGGAAUGGAUUAUUGUAACUAGUAAUCCUGAACGAGGAAUUCCUAGUAAGUCCCAGUCAACAGCUGGUACUGAUUACGUCCCUGCCCUUUGUACACACCGCCCGUCGCUACUACUGAUUGGACGUUUAAGCAAGAUUUUUAAACGCUGACAGUGUGUAGUUCACGCUAUACUACAGUGAGAAGAAGAAGAUCGAGCUUACUUGUCUAGAGGAAGUAAAAGUCGUAACA